GCAAAUUUUCCCCCAUAAAGAACAGCUUCGCAGGGCCAUUCCAAGAAACAUGUGUUGGGGUUCUUGCCUGAAGGCAGCAAGAUCCCAGUUGGCACCUCCCAGGGCAUCUUGAAAUCAAAUAGAAACUUGCAGUCUUACUGGCUUGGGGAAAUCAAAGGAUAAAACUCAGAGCUAUCACCACAGCUGAAAAGUGCUGAGAGAAAGCAUUAAAAGGAGAGAGCCAUGGAAGAGGAGCUCCAAAUUCAGAAUAUAAACUCUGUAAAUCUCUCAACGCCCCUGAACUAUGCAUGUAUGAGACAGACUUCAAGCAGCCUAUGUAAGACUAAAAGAAUUAGACAAAAUGUCAGCUGUUUCUCACCACAUGAGUGUCAUGACUAGAACUUCAGCAGUCAUCUUGCAACCACCAGGCAGCCUGAAAGAUGAGAACUACACACUGAGGAUAGCAGAG
rnacentral:lncRNA from 1 species